AACAUAAAAGGUAAUGCCUGCCCAGUGACCAUGUGUUCAACGGCCGCGGUAUUCUGACCGCGCGAAGGUAGCGUAAUCACUUGUUUUUUAAAUAAAGACUAGUAUGAACGGCCGCACGAGGACCUAACUGUCUCCUUUGUCCAAUCAGUGAAACUGAUCUCCUCGUGCAGAAGCGAGGAUUUUACCAUAAGACGAGAAGACCCUAUGGAGCUUUAAACUUUUAUUAAUUAUUUCCUUCACCCUCUCUUAGGAGCUAAUAGCCAACUUAAUUUAUUUAAUAAAAGUUUUGGGUUGGGGCGACCAUGGAGAAAAAAAGAUCCUCCCUGAUGAUAACCUAACCAAGAGCCACAGCUCUAAGUAUUAAGACACUUAACUCCUAUUGACCCAUUUUAUGAUCAACGAACCAAGUUACCCUAGGGAUAACAGCGCAAUCCAUUUCAAGAGUCCCUAUCGACAAAUGGGUUUACGACCUCGAUGUUGGAUCAGGGCAUCCAAGUGGUGCAACCGCUACUAAAGGUUCGUUUGUUCAACGAUUAAAGCCCUACGUGAUCUGAGUUCAGACCGGAGCAAUCCAGGUCGGUUUCUAUCUAUGACU
rnacentral:rRNA from 1 species